rnacentral:rRNA from 1 species
UAGCGGAGGAAAAGAAACUAACAAGGAUUCCCCUAGUAACGGCGAGUGAAGCGGGAAGAGCUCAAAUUUGAAAUCUGGCACUUUCAGUGUCCGAGUUGUAAUCUCGAGAAGUGUUUUCCGCGCUGGACCGCAUAUAAGUCUGUUGGAAUACAGCGUCAUAGUGGUGAGAACCCCGUAAAUGAUGCGGACGCCCAGUGCUUUGUGAUACACUUUCGAAGAGUCGAGUUGUUUGGGAAUGCAGCUCAAAUUGGGUGGUAAAUUCCAUCUAAAGCUAAAUAUUGGCGAGAGACCGAUAGCGAACAAGUACCGUGAGGGAAAGAUGAAAAGCACUUUGGAAAGAGAGUUAACAGUACGUGAAAUUGUUGGAAGGGAAACGCUUGAAGUCAGACUUGCUGUUUGGAAUUCAGCCGCAAGGUGUACUUUUCAGAUAUGCAGGCCAGCAUCAGUUUUUGGGGGUGAAAAAGGGUAUUGAGAAGGUAGCAGUUUCGGCUGUGUUAUAGCUCUUUACUGGAUUCAUCCUUGGGGACUGAGGAACGCAGCUCACUUUUUGCACGACCCUCGGGUUGUUCUGAGCUUAGGAUGCUGGUGGAAUGCUUUUAAACGACCCGUCUUA